rnacentral:misc_RNA from 1 species
AGAAUGUUAUCUGGUUUGAUAUCUAAAUGUAUGAUUCUCGGAUCACAAGAUUCAUGCAAAUAUUCCAAACCUUUUGCUACGCCUUUGGCAAUUUGCAUUCUUUUUUGCCAGUCCAAAAACUCUUCAUGUAAAUUAUAUUUCAAGGACUUUUUUGGAAAAUACUCUAAAACGAGCAAUGCAUUGUCUGCUUCAAUGCAGUAGCCAACUAGGUGAGCAACAUUUGGAUGUCGUACUCUGCUAGCGAUCUUAAUCUCCAGCUUCAUUUUUUGUUUCAUCUUUUCAUCAUCCGGAGGACAUCUAAGUUUCUUAAUAGCACGGGUUUUGCCAUCUAAUGAUCCCCAAAAGACUUGACCAUAACCGCCCUCGCCAAGAAAGUACCUAUUGGAGAAAUGACCAGUUGCAUUUGCUAG